rnacentral:rRNA from 1 species
UGUGAACUCGAAGAGUAGGGCGGGACACGUGGUAUCCUGUCUGAAUAUGGGGGGACCAUCCUCCAAGGCUAAAUACUCCUGACUGACCGAUAGUGAACCAGUACCGUGAGGGAAAGGCGAAAAGAACCCCGGCGAGGGGAGUGAAAAAGAACCUGAAACCGUGUACGUACAAGCAGUGGGAGCACCUUCGGGUGUGACUGCGUACCUUUUGUAUAAUGGGUCAGCGACUUAUAUUCUGUAGCAAGGUUAACCGUAUAGGGGAGCCGCAGGGAAACCGAGUCUUAACUGGGCGUUAAGUUGCAGGGUAUAGACCCGAAACCCGGUGAUCUAGCCAUGGGCAGGUUGAAGGUUGGGUAACACUAACUGGAGGACCGAACCGACUAAUGUUGAAAAAUUAGCGGAUGACUUGUGGCUGGGGGUGAAAGGCCAAUCAAACCGGGAGAUAGCUGGUUCUCCCCGAAAGCUAUUUAGGUAGCGCCUCGUGA